rnacentral:lncRNA from 1 species
AGUGAAAUCAGUAGUAUUGAGUCCUAGGUAAAUUCUAUUUCUAACUAUAAAUUAUAGAUGACACUAGUAUUUAUCUCAUGCAGUAGUUGUAAAGAGUGAAUGAGAUAAGGCACUAAAAGCACUUGGCAUGUAGUAAGCAUACAAUAGCUGUUUACUAUUAUUACUAUUAGGAGGAGGAGUACAUUGUAGCCGCUUCUCAAUCCAAGGGAUUAAGGGAAUUGCACAACAAUUUCAGAAAAGGGAAAAAAUUAAGAGGCGGUACGUAAGCAAGCAGAAGAAAGCUGCAGGUUGUAGAAGCUCAGACACGUUUAGGUGACGGAAUCCUUCCCACUGGCCUUGUGAGGGAGCAUUUCAUCUUUAGCAUCAAGAGCUGACUUGGUUGGG